GACGAACGCUGGCGGCGUGCCUAAUACAUGCAAGUAGAACGCUGAAGAGAGGAGCUUGCUCUUCUUGGAUGAGUUGCGAACGGGUGAGUAACGCGUAGGUAACCUGCCUUGUAGCGGGGGAUAACUAUUGGAAACGAUAGCUAAUACCGCAUAACAAUGGAUGACUCAUGUCAUUUAUUUGAAAGGGGCAAUUGCUCCACUACAAGAUGGACCUGCGUUGUAUUAGCUAGUAGGUGAGGUAAUGGCUCACCUAGGCGACGAUACAUAGCCGACCUGAGAGGGUGAUCGGCCACACUGGGACUGAGACACGGCCCAGACUCCUACGGGAGGCAGCAGUAGGGAAUCUUCGGCAAUGGGGGCAACCCUGACCGAGCAACGCCGCGUGAGUGAAGAAGGUUUUCGGAUCGUAAAGCUCUGUUGUAAGUCAAGAACGGGUGUGAGAGUGGAAAGUUCACACUGUGACGGUAGCUUACCAGAAAGGGACGGCUAACUACGUG
rnacentral:rRNA from 1 species